rnacentral:rRNA from 1 species
GGGGAAUAUUGGGCAAUGGGCGCAAGCCUGACCCAGCAACGCCGCGUGAAGGAAGAAGGCUUUCGGGUUGUAAACUUCUUUUGUCAGGGACGAGUAGAAGACGGUACCUGACGAAUAAGCCACGGCUAACUACAUGCCAGCAGCCGCGGUAAUACGUAGGUGGCAAGCGUUGUCCGGAUUUACUGGGUGUAAAGGGCGUGUAGCCGGGAAGGCAAGUCAGAUGUGAAAUCCACGGGCUCAACUCGUGAACUGCAUUUGAAACUGUUUUUCUUGAGUAUCGGAGAGGCAAUCGGAAUUCCUAGUGUAGCGGUGAAAUGCGUAGAUAUUAGGAGGAACACCAGUGGCGAAGGCGGAUUGCUGGACGACAACUGACGGUGAGGCGCGAAAGCGUGGGGAGCAAAC